AUAAACUGAGAUGGUUCUGAUGUUGAUAUGGACUAUUAUCACACUUUUGGCAUCUGUCAACUCGGCUCUGGAAGCUUGUGCAAGAAACGAAUGUCGGGAUGAUUUAUACCAUUGUCUGGCCGUCAACAAGACGAACAAGGUGUGUCGGGAUACAGAUAGUUCAUGUAGGGCAGACGGAGAACGCUGGGAAUUCAAGAAAUGCCUGACCUUAGAGUGCCGCAGUCACAGAAUAUCGGUCAUCAAUGAUAUUUUAUUACAGAGUGUUUGAAAACUGUUAAAGAAUGUUUGACAUUAACAACUGAAAACCAAAUGUGUCGUGACCAGCACGGUAGGUGUAGGGAGAACGGAAGUCGAUGGAAACACAGAUGCUUUGAGAUGAUGUGUCAGCAAAACAAAGUGUCAAUCAUAAAUGUCAAAUGCUGCAUCCGAAAUAAAAAAGAUGGAUGUGUAAGACCGUUAGUUUGCCGUUUGCCAGGGGAGAUUUGGACAAUUCCAGGCACGGGGACGCACCAGACAUGCAAAGUGAGAAAGAAUAGAAGGGGACGUUACACAUUCCAUUAUUACACCCCGAAAAUAUGAAGACAUUUGUGCAAGCAAAGUGAAAUUAAAAUAAGCAUCAUAAAAUAGAGUUGGGUUUCAAUUCCAAACGAAAAAGUGCAUUA